AAAAAAAAAAAAAAAAAUAAAAAAAAAAUACGAGACUGGUAACAGAUUUAUAGACAUCAGUCUGUCUUUGUAGGAUUCUGCACACGUGAAGGGCAGCUAAGGAUGAAUUUGAAGCUCGGCGUUGAACGCGCUCUGUCUUUCCGACUAGUUCAAUUGACUGCGGUGAUCAGACUUGGGUGGCGUAGCCUAAUGCAGGACGCACAAUUGCCAGGUAGAGCGUGCGGCGGGUGUUUGGAUUUAUGACUUCCACAGCAGAUCUGCGCAGGAAGCCAAGCAACUUGUUAGCCUUUGCACAACGGUCAAAGGUGUGUUUUGAUCAGGUAAGCGCCCCUAUGCUGGGGUGUAUAAAAAAGUUUAUCCAACUUUGGCAUGUGAUCAUGAAAUACAGAUUACAUUUUAAAACCAUUUACUUUUUUCAUACCAACAAAAAUCAGGCUUUUAGCUGUCGAAUGAUACUUUUCUUAUGUCCGCACGAAAUCGCAUUUUCCACCGUUAGGAAUUGCAUGUAAAGUUAUGGUCUGAGAAUUAAAAUUAUUCUCAUUUGGGAUUCAAGUUGAAGUCGCUUGAAUUCGGCAAGAUGGCGCAACGCAUAAGUAAGCAUCAAGUUUUGGUAAAGUUCUACUUGCAAUUUCGCAUCGAAAUUGAGUGGUUAAUUAAAACAUUUUACAGAACUGGAAGUUUGCAGACUCGGGCAACAACCACUUGGGCA